AAGAAACCAACAGGGAUUGCCCUAGUAACGGCGAGUGAAGCGGCAACAGCUCAAAUUUGAAAUCUGGCGUCUUUGGCGUCCGAGUUGUAAUUUGCAGAGGGCGCUUUGGCAUUGGCAGCGGUCCAAGUUCCUUGGAACAGGACGUCACAGAGGGUGAGAAUCCCGUACGUGGUCGCUAGCCUUUACCGUGUAAAGCCCCUUCGACGAGUCGAGUUGUUUGGGAAUGCAGCUCUAAAUGGGAGGUAAAUUUCUUCUAAAGCUAAAUACUGGCCAGAGACCGAUAGCGCACAAGUAGAGUGAUCGAAAGAUGAAAAGCACUUUGGAAAGAGAGUUAAAAAGCACGUGAAAUUGUUGAAAGGGAAGCGCUUGCAGCCAGACUUGCCUGUAGUUGCUCAUCCGGGUUUCUACCCGGUGCACUCUUCUACGGGCAGGCCAGCAUCAGUUUGGGCGGUUGGAUAAAGGUCUCUGUCAUGUACCUCCUCUCGGGGAGAACUUAUAGGGGAGACGACAUGCAACCAGCCCGGACUGAGGUCCGCGCAUCUGCUAGGAUGCUGGCGUAAUGGCUGUAAGCGGCCCGUCUUGAAACACGGACCAAGGAGUCUAACAUCUAUGCGAGUGUUUGGGUGUCAAGCCCGAGCGCGUAAUGAAAGUGAACGGAGGUGGGAACCUUUCGGGGUGCACCAUCGACCGAUCCUGAUGUCUUCGGAUGGAUUUGAGUAAGAGCAUAGCUGUUGGGACCCGAAAGAUGGUGAACUAUGCUUGAAUAGGGUGAAGCCAGAGGAAACUCUGGUGGAGGCUCGCAGCGGUUCUGACGUGCAAAUCGAUCGUCAAAUUUGGGCAUAGGGGCGAAAGACUAAUCGAACUAUC
rnacentral:rRNA from 1 species